GGCGCAGUAGUAGAGCGGCUCUGCAUCUGCAUCUUGUUAACAUCUUGUAAGGUACACGUAUGCAGACGUCGCCAGUUCAACUCUGGCCUGGGCCG